rnacentral:lncRNA from 1 species
UCCUUUACCAAGCCGGCACCCAAGAGAGGGAAACCGAUCGGUGAGGAAAGAUCGUGAGAGUGGGAAACAAGUGGAGAGGCCGCGCAUAAAAGAGAGAACGGGGAGCUCCGACAUCACUACCAUCAGGAGUCUCCUUCCAUUCUGGGUAGGAUAUUGCAGGUUACGGAGGAGAGGGGCGACACUGUCGUGAGUGACUCUCCAAACUGAGACUCGGGGUAAGAGUGAUUUAUAAUCUAAAUCCUCUAAUCCAAAAUCCAAAAUAAUGUAGUGAUUUUUUUAUCUCAUUCUCAUGCUUGUAGUGGAAUGAUGCAAUAAAUGAUUUUUUUGAAUGGUUAUAAAGUAUAAAAUACUUUAAAAAAAUUGAGUGUGUAUUGAUUAAGUGAUGGUAUGGUGAGAUAAGCUUGAAAUCUGGUGCAAUGGGAUGCGAUUUAGGGUUUUAGAUUGCUACAAUAGUCGGGAGGAAAGAGGGGAAACAGAUUUAGAUUGGGCUAAUUGGGCUGGGUAGGGUAUCUUUUAGCGUCGAGGCCUAAAUCUUUAGUAGCCCGAGUCCAUGAAAAAAAAAACAGAUUUACUAGUAGGCCUCAUAGACAAAAACGAGAAAAGAAGAAAUCAAGGUCUGGUAGGCUGAGCUGUUCAAAAGCAUGGGCUAUAAAUAAAGAGAUGGGUUGGCUUAAUGAAAAAAAAAGAUAAAGAAAAUAAUGAAAUAAAAUAAAGGUACUGAGUAACAAAAUAAAAUUAAAAAUAAUAAUAAUAAUAAAAAAGGAAAUGUGAUCAUCAGUUAGGUAGGCUAAAGCCUCACUGGGCCUCAGGUCCAUGUGAAGCUUACGUUGAGAUAGGGCUUAAUUGGGCUAAGGUGAAACGGGCUUCAAAACGAAGUAAAAUAGGUGGAUUUUAACGAAUUGGUUUAAAAAGCAAUAUUAGUGGGCUGAAGGAAAAUUUGUUAUUGGGCUUAGACCUAGAAGAAAUUAGUUUUACUUGGGUUAAAAAGAUAAUUUUACUUCAGCUCCUAGACUAAAAACUAUUCAAACAGAUCACUACCCAUCAGUGAAUGCACAGUAAGGGGCUGUGUGAAUAAAUAUAAAAAUCAGGGGCCAAAAGUCUUGAGAAUUAGUAAGUUAACUCAAGAAAAUUUUAUUAAAUCCCUGUAAAGGUAGUUAUAUAUAUAUGGUAGUAAUAAUAGCCUAGAAAAAUUAAUUAAUUAAGUAAAUAAGAGAGAAAUUCUUAAGUUGAAUAGAUAAAUAUAAAUAUAUACAUAUAUACGUUUAUAGUGUUUGCAAAAUGUUUACGGAGUGAUGGAAGGAAUGCAAAUAUUUGAGGUUCUUUAUAAAAUAGUAUUAUAACAAAUUAUUGGAAGAGUCUGAUUUACAAGAUGAUUAAAAUAUUUCAUGAAUUGAAGAUUUUUGAAAGACAAGUGCAUGAAUCAAGUUGUUUUUUUUUUUUUGUGAUCAUGGAAAUUAAAUAAUUUUUGAAGUGAUGAGAUUGACGAUUUGUGAUUUAGUAAGGCUGUAAGAAAUAAUGAGAUUAGAACUCACACAAAAACUAAAUGAAGGUACACAGGUAGAUUGAAAUGUAAUUUAAGAUAAAUUAUAGUAGGAAAUACACAGGAUAGGCAGUAAAGAAUUAUUAUCAAUAAGAUAUGAGUAAAUGUGCAGUCCAUGAUCCAUUAAGAGUGAUUAUGAACUCUAUCUCAUGGACCAUUUAUUGCUUCAUAACUAUGAUAGUAACUAUGACUGUGUUUAUGAUUAUAACUAUGACAGUAACUAUGAUAUGUAAUGUGUAACUAUGACUAAGUCCAUGUUGAUAGUGUGAGUAAUCAUUUCCUCUCGUGAUUGUGACUAAAUGAUCUUAUAUAAAAUAAUACAGAUUUAUGCAUGUGUAUUGGUUGUGUUUGAUGAAUGAUGAGAAUUUACUAUUAGAUGAAUAUGUGUUUAAGGAAAGGUAUAGUGUGAGUGAAUAUGUGUUUAAGGAAGGGUAUUCUAUGUGUGCAUACGUGUUUAAGGAAUGAUAUUUGAAUACGUAUAAUUAAUGUGAUUAUGAUAUUGUGUUUAUGAGAUUUGAGAAUGAAUCAAAAGUAAAUUACAGAAUUGUAAGUUAUGCAAUUGUGGGCAUCUUUUGAAUGAAGUGAGGUACAUAAGAAGUGAAAACAUGUGAUUAAUAGAUCGAUAUAGUUGUUGUUUGAGUGUGGGAAUAUGAUGGGUGUGAAGGGUGCGGUAAGUUUGGAAUGAAGCUAAUGGGUCGAAUCAAUAUAUUAUCUCCAGUUUUUUGAAUUUGAGUUUUAAGUUAUUUUUAUUGAGCAUGUGGUGGCUCACUCUUUUUUAUCAUUUAGAGAAUAGAAAAGUCAAGAGUAGUUUCAAGAUUAAAGGAGAACAAGAAGAAUCCUUUUAUAAUUUUGAAAAAUUGUUUGUAAAGUAGAUCUGAAAUUUAUUGUAAUAUAUUAUUAAAUAUUUUUAUGAAUUUUAAGAACUAUAACUUUGUACAAUGAGUGUAUGAUUAGUUUUAAAUUUUAGCAUAUUAUUGAGUCAUAUAUCAAAUUUGAUAUGUGUGGUACGCUCAUUUCUUAUUGGAGAAAGUGGGUUGUUACAAAAAGAGUACAAAGAUGUGAAGGUAGGUAGUGUACAUAAAUUUCAAAAUGGAAUUAAACAAGGUAGAUAAGUUUUAGUAUAAAGUAAGUAAAGUAUGCCCGUGAAAUUCACUCCAAUGCACACCCCCUAUUUUAGAUAAGUUUAGAAGCAAAUUUGAGACUAUUAGGAGACAUGGUGGAAGACCUUCUAGGUUUUGUCCAAAAUUGGUACUGUAGAUAGAUUAAAUAGAAAAUUAUUUGUACAUAAGAACUUAAUGCCUCGCGUAUUUUAUUUUAUUUUUAUUACAAGGAAUGUGUAUUUAUGUGUAAUUUCACUAUACGUGACUGUAUUAUUUUUUUCCAGUAUUUCGAUAUAGUGUGCAAACGUGUAUGUUCCCUUGAUUGAGAAUUGGGGCGUUGUAUAGAGAAAUAUGUUUCGUUUAUCCAUAUAAUCAUGUAAAUAAUUUAGAAUAUGUUGUGAAUAUUUGCAAUUUGUUCUUGUGCUUGAUAAUUGAUAACACGUGGCUAAUACUUGUGGUAUUACAUACACAAGCUCAUUGACUCGGCUGGUAAAACAUUUAGGAAAAAUCAUAUAUUGAUUAGAAAGCUAAUUUUUCAAAAGUUCAAAAAUUUUCUUUCAUUUUUUGAGCAUAUUGCACUAUAAAUUAUGUUUUGUCAUCAAUAGAAAAAGAGAUUAUUAACAUAUUUACUUUUGAUUUUGAUGAAUAACAUAAAUAAAUUAUUACUAACAAAGUAUUUUAAGACCAUUGCAUAAUUGUAUAAUUAGUAAAUUUCAAUUUUGCUUAAGUUCAUAUCAACUUAACAUUUUUUGAAGACAAAUACUUUUGACAAGAAUUUAUAAGUAUAUAAAAUUGAUCUUGGCAUUUUCGAAGCUAAAUAUUAUCUCACUUUGAUUUUAAAAAUAUUUUAAAAAUUAUUUUAAUAUCUUUGAAACAAAAUAUUUGUUGAAAGAAUUUUAAUCACCAAGCAUUAUAAGUAGGAGCAUUAGAACCAAUAAUAGAAGAAUUUUGGAGCAAUAUUUCUAAAUUCAAAAGAUUAAUUUAAAAAAUAAAUUCUAAAACUCUAAGAAAACUUGCAAAAUCAAAAUCAAAGUUUUGAUUGAGUAGUAGAUGAGAAAAACUUAAUGCUGGGAUUGAUUGUAGCAUAUUCGAGCAGCUCUUGGUUUGUCUCGAGAAUUCUCAUCUCUUCUUCAUCCAAUGUCAAGAUGACUUCAAUCUCAUUGCGAGACCUUGUGUCCAUCAACGCUACAGUGUUGCUCACGAUCUUGUUAAUGCUCACAUGCCACAGCACUUUCCCCCAACCAAAUUCAGUGUCAUAAAGCGGAAGCUUGCACCAACUUGAACACUUAUAAACACUCAUGUCUCCUGUCUUCUUAAAAAACUCUCCUCUCUCCUUCAAUUUCUCAAGAAUUUUGAUUGUACCAUCUUUGCCUUUAAACAUAUUUGCAUCAUUGUUGCAGAAAUGGUUGAAUGAUUUUCUCAUUUGAAUCACCAACUGCACCAGCUCCAUGUCCUUUUCUUCUUCCACCACCACCAUAAAUGGCCAAAUGAAAUUCCCCAUUGCAGUUUCGGGCAACGGAGGACUCAUUCUUUGACGCAAAUUCACUGCUUGGAACAUUACAGACGGCUUGAAUUCACCCAUAUUCUUCGCCUGCUUAGCAGCCACAGCUCACUUCCAUAUCAAUGCAAGUACCAUCUCAACGCGUGAAGCGUGACACUGCAUCACUUGCCCGAAUUCUGGAUCAACUCUCACCUUUAACUCUGCCAGCUUUGCAGCUGUGAACACGAAUCUUUUCAUCGAAAAUUUUUCUGCCUUGAUGUUGAUUGAGGCAGACAUGUUAGGCAAGUCAGGUUUGGGUGGCAGAAGGUUUGCUCCUAGGAACAAUUCUGGUACAACUGGUUCAUUGUCUCCUAGAGAAAACUUUGUCCAGGUUUGGAAAAGAGUUACGAGACUUGGUAAGUCGACCAAUUUGUGAGUAGGGGAAACACCUACAGCAACACCCCCGCAAAUGAAGCUAGUGAACUUGACAAGCAACAUGGCGCCAUUAGAUAUGGUCAUGGUUUCAUUAUCACUGAUGGGUAAAAAAUGGUCCAUGAGAUCCAAAUCUGGGUGUUUAAAGAAAUCUGAUAGGGUGAAGUUGAUUUGGCCUUCGACAAAGCAAACACCUUCAUCGUUACAGUCGAUGGUGGUGGCAUCUCGGAGGCGGCCAGCGAGAGGGUAGAUGAGAUUUAAAGUUUUGGCAAGUGAUUGUUGAAGAAGUUUGGAUUUGGUUGAGAAAUCAGUGGAGGAGUUUGAAGGAAGAGAAAGUCAUGUUGGUAUAGAUAGGAG